rnacentral:ribozyme from 14 species
CUAAUAACGUACACACGUGACAAGAAGAACAAAAGAACAAAAGAACAAAAAGAACAAAAAGACCUGGGUUGUUUAGGCGUUGUUCUUAGUCAGAAUGUCCCAAAGGGCGUUCAUUUUCCUCGUCUCCUCUCCUUCGCGUGAAACUCGUAUCAAAA